rnacentral:lncRNA from 1 species
UCCCCUUGCUCUAGGUCUAAGCUCAGCACAGGUGUGUGCUCAGGGCAGCUCCUAGGCCUGGACAGCUCUCAGGGAGGAAUUAGGUAAAUGUUCAGCAUCCCCAUACCUGGCCCAUCUGGUUUCAUCCUUUGCCCAGGCCAGUAGCUUUGGGUCACUCUCUCUUGUACCUCUAAAUCCAGUGCUUGGAGCAGCCGUAUAGGGCUCUGAUGGGAGGUGAUACCUCUGUCUCUCAUUUCAGAAUUUGCCAACUCGGGGACCUGGCUCUGGAAGGCAGUUUUCUUAAAGGGGAUGUCAUCCUGGGUGACCGGAAGUCUCCAAACCUAGAGGGACAGCGGUGCCCUCCCUUCUGUCCUUGGUGUUCUCUGGAUUGAUUCAGCAGUAGAAACCAUUUGGUCUGUUGGGCCCCAGCACACCUGCUAGGUUCCUUCCAGGUUCACUGUGUCACAUUAGCUUCCCUUUGGGAGGGUGAUGUGGUUGAAUACUCAGAGAGGAGAGGGGGUUGGUGUGCGUCGUUAGUCCCCCACCUUCCGGUUUCACCUCCUGCCUUCCUCUUCCUCUAAACCUGAGCACGUCAUGCCAAGGCUCACUCAUACGCAGUGGCGUCAGCUCACUCCUCAGCAGUAAUCUAGGAUGUGUGGGAAGCUUAGGGUUCUGGGGAGGAACAGAAUUGAAGAGGGGAGUGAUGUGGGUGGAGGCACUGGCCAACUGCUAAACUUGGACACCAGUUUUAUAUCACGCCCCCUUUGUAAGCCAGUGAGCUGGGCUUCAGUUUUCCCCAAACCAUGCACACUUUUAAUUUAUUUGAGAGAAACUCUAAUUGUAUUUUCACUGCAGUAUCUUGUAUUUUUUAUUUGUGAUUUAGGAAAUGUGAAGAGAAAAUACACAGACACAUAAUGGCUAACAGUGUUUCUUUCAUUCCUUGUUCUAGAGCUAACCACUCUAAAAUUGUUUGGUAAUGUCACUUAGUGUAAUUAAUUGUAACAUAUUCUUUUAAAUAAAUUGAUUUAUUGAUGAAACUA